AUUCCCCGCUCGCCGGCCUCAUCGCAGGCUGGCAGGAAAGGAUCCCCGGGGAUUUUUCUGCCACCGAAUACAUUAGCAUGGGAUAAUGGAAUAGGACCCUGUCCUCCUAUUUUCAGUUGGUUUUGGCAGCGCGAGGACUAGGGUAAUGAUUAAUAGGGAUAGUUGGGGGCAUUAAUAUUUAAUUGUCAGAGGUGAAAUUCUUGGAUUUAUGAAAGAUUAACUUCUGCGAAAGCAUCUGCCAAGGAUGUUUUCAUUAAUCAAGAACGAAAGUUAGGGGAUCGAAGACGAUCAGAUACCGUCGUAGUCUUAACCAUAAACGAUGCCGACCAGCGAUUAGGAGACGUUGAAUACAAAACACCACCAUCGGUGCGGUCGUCCUUGGCGUCGGUUUCGGCCGGCGCGGGGGCGGCUUAGCCCGGUGGCACCGGUGAAUGACUCCCCUAGCAGCUUGUGAGAAUUGUCUUGGAUUUAUGAAAGAUUAACUUCUGCGAAAGCAUCUGCCAAGGAUGUUUUCAUUAAUCAAGAACGAAAGUUAGGGGAUCGAAGACGAUCAGAUACCGUCGUAGUCUUAACCAUAAACGAUGCCGACCAGCGAUUA
rnacentral:rRNA from 1 species